rnacentral:rRNA from 1 species
AUUGAACGCUGGCGGCAGGCCUAACACAUGCAAGUCGAGCGAGCGGCGGACGGGUGAGUAAUGUAUGGGGACUGCCCGAUAGAGGGGGAUAACUACUGGAAACGGUGGAUCAUACCGCAUAUUCUCUGAUAACCCCUAUGGGAUUAGCUAGUAGGUAGGGUAAUGGCUUACCCCGGCGACGAUCCCUAGCUGGUCUGAGAGGAUGAUCAGCCACACUGGAACUGAGACACGGCCCAGACUCCUACGGAGGCAGCAGUGGGGAAUAUUGCACAAUGGGCGCAAGCCUGAUGCAGCCAUGCCGCGUGUAUGAAGAAGGCCCUAGGGUUGUAAAGUACUUUCAGUCGGGAGGCGUUACCGACAGAAGAAGCACCGGCUAACUCCGUGCCAGCAGCCGCGGUAAUAC